UCCCUCGUGGUCCAGUGGCUAAGAUGCUGCAUUCCCAAUGCAGGGGACUUGGGUUCGAUCCCUAGUCAGGGAA
rfam:Ovis aries breed Texel chromosome 17, whole genome shotgun sequence.